AAACAAAAGAAAAAAGAAAAGGCAGCCCACUUUCCCCUUCCCCCGACGAUUCGUUUCGAUUUCAUCCCGCCGCCGCCGCAACCACCCUCUCCCCCGGCACGGCGGUGAUCUUCUCUCCCACGGCCGACCGCCUCUCUCCUCUAUCUCCCGCCGACGGUUGUAUGACGGAUCCUUGGCGACGGCGGCACCAUGGAUGCGGCGGCGAACCCUAGCCGCAGCGGCUUGCCGGCGCCUCUGCUCUUCUCUUCUCCUAGAGCAACCCCCUCGUCGCACUACGACGCGCCCCCUGCCACUCCUCUUGUAUGCGAAACCCGACGGCCAUGCCAUCCUUCCUUCGCCUCCACCUCCACCUCCCCGACCGCGUGCUCCUUCGCCGCCCAGCGACGGCGGCCGAUUUACGACGGAUCUAUCUGGCGCGACGGUAGCGCCAGCCAACCCAUGGAGGCGGCGCCUGCCGUGCCUCUGCUGCUCUCCCCGAGCUCCCUCCUCAUCUUACGACGACGCCUCCGCACCCCCUCCACCUCGACUCGGGCUUUGUUGAUUGAUGACUGGGCUGAAGGGGAUACUUAACAAAGGUUCAGCAAUGCCUCAGGGGGGAGAUAGUCGUCGGAGGUCCCAAUGUAAAAAAAGACCGUUCCAAGAAUGAAGCUAAAACAAAUGAGGUCUAUCAGGAUGAUGAAAGAGGUCUACGAUGGUUGUAUUCGGGUGGCAUAGGGCGUUUUCCAUCCACAUUGCUGCCUUGAAUUCAUUGACCGCAAGAAAGAUAUCGUGAAGCUUCAACGUGGUGAACACACAUCUGCCAAAACAUAUAUUUCUAAAGUUGUCCGGGACCCUGCCAGGAUAGAGAGGUCGUCAUCGCCAUCACGUCCAUGCUGUGUCAACCCCACUGCCCCCUUUAUUUUGUCUGUGCCUGUGCAUCUAUAUCCCCGCUGCCCUUAUAUUUUCUAUCUCAAUUACUCCCUCCAUUCCAAAAUAGAUGACUCAACUUUAUACUAAAGUUAGUACAAAGUUGAGUCAUCUAUUUUGGAACGGAGGGAGUAGCUUUUUUAAACCGCUAGAUUGACCUCAGUGUAAUAGUUGAUCGGUAAUAAGACCUUAUGACUUGGUACCCAAUGCAUGUGUGUAGUUUUUUUUGACUUCUUCUCUCUCUCCUAACCUCCACUUAUUGAUUUCAGAUUAAUACAUCAAAACAUUUUUUGCAAGAUAAUCACAUAGUUUUUUUUUGCAAAAUAAUGCAUGCUCACUGGUUAGAGAUAACAUUUUUGCCAGAAGCAAGAAUGUUAUAGCUUGCAUGUAGCUUGAUAUUCUUUUUAUGCAAUAGCACAUUCAUGUAUCAGUGCAUAAACAGCAAGAUUACACACUGAUGCAAUUUCCUUUUCUUGUUUUGAUUGAUAGAAUGAGCAUGGAAAAUUUCAAUUUUCCGCACAAAUUCCUAUCCACAUUCGAUGGAUUAGGAGAUGAUGCCAACACAAUUGGUGUUGCAAGGGAAGAAGCAGCUGCAAUAAUCAAUGUGUUCGCGAAAUCAUCUCUUUGUCAUGUAAUUUUUUCUGCCAGUUUACAACUCUGGUGACCGCCUCUCGCUCGACUCGGGCAUCGGAUGACAAAUGAGGUCUACGAUGGUUGUAUUCUGGUGGCAUAGGGCGUUUCCAUCCAGAUGGCUGCCUCAAAUUUAUUGACCGCAAGAAAGAUAUUGUCAAGCCUCAACAUGAAUGAGCAUGGACUUCUAUUUUCUGAACAAAUCCCUAUCCACAUUCGAUGGACUAGAAGAUGAUGCCGACACAGUUGGUUUUGCAAGGGAAUAAGCAGCUGCAAUCAUGAAUGUGUGUUCAUCAAGUCGUCUCUUUGUCAGUGCUGCUGCAGGCUAAAGUUGCUAAUAGAAACAACACAAUCUCAGCUAGAAGUUAGCUGAAGAUGCAGGAUUUGUGAUGCUAGGAUUGAUGAUCCGCUGAUUAGAGGGUUGUCCCUAACUUCCCGUGAGUGUUGUUGCUGGGCGUAUUUUGGACAACAUUUACAGCACUAGUUUGGUCGACGAAGAAGAACUUUUCGACGAAGAAGCUCUGGCUGCUCCAGUGCUCACUCCGACGCCUCUUUCCUGUCCCUCUGGUGGCCGCUUCCUUGUUGGUUCUAGAAGAGUGAAGCGGUUCUUCAAUGUUGGAAUCCCUGUUUGGUGUGGUGGUGACCGAGCGGUCAUCGAUGUGCCCCUCCUCCCUACCGACGGGAUGACGGUGGUUGUGUUGUAAACUUUUAACCUCCUUGUCCGGCUACCACAGCUCGGAGGACUGUCUCGGCUUCUUGUUUUUGUGAGCGGCUCUACCUGGUUUUAAUGUUGGAAUCCCUGCACGCCCCAACAUGCGUCGCCGAUCUGUAAACGCCUCUACCUAGAUUGGUUGGGUGGUGACCAAACAGUGAGGUGGUGGAAAGCAUCGUAACCUCUAUGUCAGGCUACUAUGGCUUGGCAGGGUACCUCCUCGUCCACUACCUCGGCUUCCCACAGCAUGAUCACAAUGUUUUGGCUGCAACCGUGGCGGUGGUUGCUGCCUCUUUCUGUUCUGAUCAUGGUCAAACCUCAUACAAAACCAAGGCAGAAAGCGUCCCAACAAAGUGUUUCGAAAUGGCAAGAUCUGGAUAGGCGAUCUCUGGUUUCUGUGUGAUUUAGCCUGUACAACACAGAGUAGUCUGCUGAGAACAAGCACCUUCUUAAAAGCACAUGUCUUUGAUGACAGCAACUUCUCCGCGAGUGAUUUAGUUUUCUCAACACACGAAGGGUAUUUAAUAUUACGAGGGGUAGCAUCAGUACGCCUUCCUGUAUCAUCAAUAUCAGUGAGGAUAUAUUUGCAGGUCAUGUUCAAACUUUGUGCAAAACCAAGGCAGAAAGCGUCCCAACAUAGUGUGGCAAUAUGGCAGGAUUGGGAGAGGUGAUUCCUCGUUUCUGUGCGAUUUAGUUUGCUCAACACACAGAGCAGUCUGCUGGGAACAAGCGUCUUCUUAAAAGCACAUGUGUCUGCUGACACCAACUUCCCCAUCUGUGAGCAGAGGUCGCGUCCCUGAGAAGGAUUUGGUCACCGAGGGAACUUGACACGUUCAAGGGCCACCUGGAGAUGGUCGUCAAGCUGAAGUGGCUCUCGUCGGCACUGACUUGGUGUUUGUUGUCGUGGUCUCCGGCGGCGGUUGUUGGGUGGCUGCCAUGGCGAGCAAUGCAUGCACGGUCGAAGGCUCAGCUUAGCGGCCGUUCUGUAUGACCGUGGCUAUAGUCGAUUUGGUUAUUCGAUUGGAGGUGACUCCUGGAGGGAGGUUAGUUAUUGAGAUUGAUAAUCCAAAAGUGGCAAGAGGGCAGGAGAGGAAGAGAUGGCCUAGAUUUGGAGGCACUAGAUAAAUGGAUGGACGAGUUAUUUGUUGGCUGCGGAAUUAGUGUUGGAGGCUGAUGCCCUUUUUUAUUUGUGUAUGUUUUCUCGAGCUAGCUCAAAUAGCGACACUCGAGAUUGAUAUGCUAGAUAGAAUCUACUUUCUUGUCCUGGUGGCUGUUUGAGCUAGUUAUGUACGUAUAUCUGGUGUACGAAGAAUGCAUGUUGUGAAUGAAGAAAAAUGGAAUAAAAUUCACUUCUUUGGUCGAUUCA